GAUGAAGAACGCAGCGAAAUGCGAUAAGUAAUGUGAAUUGCAGAAUUCAGUGAAUCAUCGAGUUUUUGAACGCAUAUUGCGCCCUCUGGUAUUCCGGGGGGCAUGCCUGUUCGAGCGUCAUUAAAUAACCCUCAAGCAUAGCUUGGUGUUGGGCUUUUUUACGUCCUUGACUGGGAUGGGCCUAAAAAUUAGUGGCGAUGGCUUUUUUACUUUCAAGCGUAGUAAAUCUCGUCUUGCUAAAGAGGAAAAAGAUUUUUUUUCUGCCAAAAAUUUUAACAUUUAAAGUUGACCUCGGAUCAGGUAGGAUUACCCGCUGAACUUAAGCAUAUCAAUAAAGCGGAGGA
rnacentral:misc_RNA from 1 species